GAUGAACGCUGGCGGCGUGCCUAAUACAUGCAAGUCGAGCGAACAGACGAGGAGCUUGCUCCUCUGACGUUAGCGGCGGACGGGUGAGUAACACGUGGAUAACCUACCUAUAAGACUGGGAUAACUUCGGGAAACCGGAGCUAAUACCGGAUAACAUGUUGAACCGCAUGGUUCAACAGUGAAAGACGGUCUUGCUGUCACUUAUAGAUGGAUCCGCGCCGCAUUAGCUAGUUGGUAAGGUAACGGCUUACCAAGGCAACGAUGCGUAGCCGACCUGAGAGGGUGAUCGGCCACACUGGAACUGAGACACGGUCCAGACUCCUACGGGAGGCAGCAGUAGGGAAUCUUCCGCAAUGGGCGAAAGCCUGACGGAGCAACGACGCGUGGGUGAUGAAGGUCUUCGGAUCGUAAAACUCUGUUAUUAGGGAAGAACAAAUGUGUAAGUAACUAUGCACGUCUUGACGGUACCUAAUCAGAAAGCCACGGCUAACUACGUG
rnacentral:rRNA from 1 species